rnacentral:tRNA from 1 species
GGGAGUGGAGGGGAUCCGGUGGUCCUCGCCGUCUUCAAAACGGUUGCCCCGUCGCAAGCGCGGUGGGGGGUGGGUUCGACUCCCAUGCACUCCCGCCA